CCCUUAGAUGUUCUGGGCCGCACGCGCGCUACACUGAUUCAUUCAUCAAGUCUAUAACCUUGGUAGAAAUGCUUGGGUAAUCUUUGAAACUGAAUCGUGCUGGGGAUUGGAGCUUGUAAUUAUUCUCCAUGAACGAGGAAUUCCUAGUAAACGCGAGUCAUCAGCUCGCAUUGAUUACGUCCCUGCCCUUUGUACACACCGCCCGUCGCUCCUACCGAUUGAGUGGUCCGGUGAGGCUUUGGGAUCUGAGCGGAAAGAGCGUUUCGCUGUUUCUGCUCGGAAAACUCAGUCGAACCUUAUCAUUUAGAGGAAGGAGAAGUCGUAACA
rnacentral:rRNA from 1 species